ACAGUACAAACUGAUCAGGCGGCAUCUGGAAGCAGAUGCGGAAGCCGGGCCGGACAAUGACCGGCAGCAGAUGAGAAUCAUACACAUCUGUGGGACAGU
rnacentral:ncRNA from 1 species